rnacentral:lncRNA from 1 species
UGUGACAGAUUAACGCUUUCUAGCGGUUGUUAUUGCUGCUCGCUAUAAGUACCACUAGUUACCUAGUACCAUAGUUAAAAUAAUUCGACGUUCAUAUUGUUUUAUAUUUGUGACUUGCAGUCUGAACGUCAAAACUUUAAAGGACCAAAAUAAUGAAGAAUGAAUCACAGUACAUAGUCCUGUAAAGUUAUUGGUUUUCUCAUUUGCGCAUACUGCAUGCAUACACGGUAAACGUUAAUCGUCUACAGUACAUACAUAGGUUUAAAUCACCUGUAAAUUCGUAGUUUUGUGAUAUUAUUUGAUAAUUUUUACAUAAAUCAAUAAGGAUUUAAGUCCCCAUUUGAUACAUGUAAUUUUUAUUAAUAUAUAGGCAUAGUACUAGAGCCGAUUUACGCAAUCGAAUACCGCCGGAAGUAGAACAUUUAUGUUAACACCGGUUUCGUAUUUUCACGUGAAAACGGCCAAAAACUGAGAGGUUAUCAACAAAUUAUAAGUUUACGGGUACCAUGAGGAUUUUUCAUGCAUUUAAACGAAAGAAGUACAAGCGAACAGAUGACACAUUAAAGUGGCUGCAGAAGCUUGAAAAGUUAGAUAGAGCAGGGGCAGUCAAAACAGUGGGAUACUACAUCUAUGUAAUUUCUUUUUAAAGGGUGUCCAACAUGUCUAGUCAGGUUGACAGAAGUGAAAGAUGGUCUGAUGGUACAAUGAUGUACAAAUGAUACUCUUUAACAAGUUUAACAUGUCAAGGUGUAAAAUGUUCUGUGGAAUCAUAUGAUGAGAAUGCCAGUGUUGACCUGUAUGACUUAAUUAAACACAGAUAUUGAUACCUUCAGAUAUAUACCUGUGAAAUCUUCAGUGUCAUCGUUCAGCUAUUGUUCAAGAUCAGUGUCUGCAGCUUGCACAGUUUAGUAUAGAGGAGCCUUCUGAAUCAACUUUGUUACAUAUUUGCUGUUAUUGUAGGACACACAUGUAGAGAGCAGCAAGUCCUGUCCAGCGGUGCAUGUAAAUGUGAUUCAGAAACUUUGAAAAUAUGUAAACAUUAUACUGUUAUAAUGUUCAAAAUACUGUGUCUUGUAGUGUAUCAGUACUGUUUUGUCUCAGUUUAUAGCACAGUAUGUU